UACGGAGGGAGCUAGCGUUGUUCGGAUAUACUGGGCGUAAAGCGCACGUAGGCGGCGCAGCAAGUCAGGGGUGAAAUCCCGGAGCUCAACUCCGGAACUGCCUUUGAACUGCAGUGCUAGAAUCCUGGAGAGGCGAGUGGAAUUCCGAGUGUAGAGGUGAAAUUCGUAGAUAUUCGGAAGAACACCAGUGGCGAAGCGGACUCGCUGGACAGGUAUUGACGCUGAGG
rnacentral:rRNA from 1 species